rnacentral:rRNA from 1 species
CCUACGGGUGGCAGCAGUGAGGAAUAUUGGUCAAUGGGCGAGAGCCUGAACCAGCCAAGUCGCGUGAAGGAUGACGGCCCUACGGGUUGUAAACUUCUUUUGUCAGGGAGCAAUUGGGUCCACGCGUGCGCUUAGCGAGAGUAUCUGAAGAAAAAGCAUCGGCAAACUCCGUGCCAGCAGCCGCGGUAAUACGGGGGAUGCGAGCGUUACCGGGUUUUAUUGGGUUAAAGGGGUGCGUAGGCGGAAGAUCAAGUCAGCGGUAAAAAUUCGGGGCUCAACCCAGUCGUGCCGUUGAUACUGGUGUUCUUGAGUGGGCUAGAAGUAUGCGGAAUGCGUGGUGUAGCGGUGAAAUGCAUAGAUAUCACGCAGAACUCCGAUUGCGAAGGCAGCAUACCGGCGCCCAACUGACGCUGAAGCACGAAAGCGUGGGUAUCGAACAGGAUUAGAUACCCGAGUAGUC